rnacentral:snRNA from 1 species
GGGCAACAUCUGGCUGCAACAUCUGUCACUGCAGUGAUUGUCAGAGUUGGCUGGCUAACCUGGCUGCCCAAGUAGGUUUCCCCUUCUUUAACCACUCCAUGUGCAUCCCUUCCACAUCUGUGUGGUUGGUGGAAGAAAACAAAUUUCCCAAGUAGAAGCAAUGUACUAUUCUUUAGUCCAGGUUAUAAAAUCAUCCUGUUUAGUCAAGACAGUGAAAUUAGAGAUGUAAGGUAAGGAAAAAAAUUCAGAUAACAUAUAAAUACUAU